CGCAUCUGUGCAUGCAGCAUAUCAAUAAGCGGAGGAAAAGAAACUAACAAGGAUUCCCCUAGUAACGGCGAGUGAAGCGGGAAGAGCUCAAAUUUGAAAUCUUAAAGGGUUUCCCUUUACGAAUUGUAGUUUAAAGAAGUGUUUUCUGUUGAGGUUUUGGUAAAAGUUCUUUGGAAUAGGACAUCAUAGAGGGUGAGAAUCCCGUAUUUGACCUUUACUUUCAACUUUGUGAUACACUUUCAAAGAGUUGGAUUGUUUGGGAAUGCAGUCCAAAAUGGGUGGUAAAUUUCAUCUAAAGCUAAAUAUUGGCGAGAGACCGAUAGCGAACAAGUACCGUGAGGGAAAGAUGAAAAGAACUUUGAAAAGAGAGUUAAACAGUACGUGAAAUUGUCAAAAGGGAAGCGUUUGACACCAGUGUUGGUUCUCUGAAAAUCAAUUAAAGAACUGUUUAUGCUAAGUUGUUUAGACUUUAUCAGCUAACUGUUUAGUUUUGAGCUUUUCUUUAAUGCACUUUUCAGUUAACAAGUCAACAUCAAUUUCUUUUGCUGUAAAAAAGCUUGAGGAAGGUGGCUUGAGAUUCGUCUUAAGUGUUUAUAGCCUCUUGCCUAUGCAGUCGGAGAGAUUGAGGUCUGCAGCGUAGAUCCUUCGGGGCUAAAUGCAUUUGUGCUAAGUUAUAACAUUUUAUAGACAACUUGUUGACUAUGAUUUGUCUUGUAGCUUACUCGCUUAUGUUAUUUUACCUACGCUUAGGAUGUUGAUAGUCACAGCGUGUAC
rnacentral:rRNA from 1 species